ACUUUUCUGACUUGAGUGUCGGAGGAUCCUUAUCGGAGGAUCCUUGUCAGAGUCACAACCUUCAGUUUGAGACUUAUUUUGGAGGUCACUCUAACGCCAGCAUCCUCGCACGAGAACCAAGUGUCUAUCUUUCGAUCCCGACCGAUUUCAGGAGCAACAUAACUGAUUAAUUGAGUUGAUUGUUUAAAAAUCAAAAUUG
rnacentral:lncRNA from 1 species